rnacentral:lncRNA from 1 species
GGUUUGCAAUACUCUGAAUAAUUGUCAACGUGAUGUUGCAUAUUCUCCUCAAACUUGUAGGCAAGAUAGUUCAUCACCAGGAGGAAGUAUUGAUGAUGGGUUUUGGAUUUUAGGAAAAAGUACACCCUUGUUUGUGAAAUGACAUGCUGUUCCUCAGAAAAAUGGCCUUUAAUCAGUUGCUACAUUUUUCUACCUUUCCUCAUUUUAACUGCCAUCAUUGGUCUUAAAUGGAACAAAAUGAAGGGAUUUUGACACUGAGCAAAAAGUGUAAGUGGAAGAAGACAGCAGUAGUAGCAGCAACAGUAACAGCAGUAGUGACAGCAACCAGUCAUAGAGUAACUACAUGAUAACAUCAAAAGCCAUAAGAUAGAGAAAGGAUAUUACCAAGAAACUUACCAUUAACUGGCUUGAUUCAACAAUGAAAACAAAAAUCGCCUUUUUUCUCCUUUCAUUAUGGCUUAAAGCUUUCAAUUGCACAAACAAAAUAAAUUAUAUGACAGGAAGUA